rnacentral:rRNA from 1 species
UACAGAGGGGGCAAGCGUUAUUCGGAAUUAUUGGGCGUAAAGGGCGCGUAGGCGGCCUGGCAAGUGGAAGGUGAAAUCCCCGAGCUUAACUUGGGAACUGCCAUUGAUACUAUCAGUCUUGAAUACCGUGGAGGUCAGCGGAAUAUGUCAUGUAGCGGUGAAAUGCUUAGAUAUGACAUAGAACACCAAUUGCGAAGGCAGCUGGCUACACGGAUAUUGACACUGAGGCACGAAAGCGUGGGGAUCAAACAGG